rnacentral:rRNA from 1 species
CCUACGGGUGGCUGCAGUGAGGAAUAUUGGUCAAUGGACGCAAGUCUGAACCAGCCAUGCCGCGUGCAGGAAGACGGCUCUAUGAGUUGUAAACUGCUUUUGUACGAGGGUAAACGCAGAUACGCGUAUCUGUCUGAAAGUAUCGUACGAAUAAGGAUCGGCUAACUCCGUGCCAGCAGCCGCGGUAAUACGGAGGAUUCAAGCGUUAUCCGGAUUUAUUGGGUUUAAAGGGUGCGUAGGGGGGCGGAUAAGUUAGAGGUGAAAUGCCCCCGCUCAACGGGGUGAAGUGCCGUUGAUACUGGCUGGCUGGAAUGCGGAUGACGUGGGAGGAAUGUGUGGUGUAGCGGUGAAAUGCAUAGAUAUCACACAGAACACCGAUUGCGAAGGCAUCUCACGAAUCCGCGAUUGACGCUGAUGCACGAAAGCGUGGGUAUCAAACAGGAUUAGAUACCCCUGUAGUC